rnacentral:rRNA from 1 species
AGCGAACGCUGGCGGCAGGCCUAACACAUGCAAGUCGAACGAACCUUUCGGGGUUAGUGGCGGACGGGUGAGUAACACGUGGGAACGUGCCUUUAGGUUCGGAAUAACUCAGGGAAACUUGUGCUAAUACCGAAUGUGCCCUUCGGGGGAAGGAUUUAUCGCCUUUAGAGCGGCCGGCUUCUGAUUAGCUAGUUGGUUGAGGUAAUGUCGUACCAAGGCGACGUUCAGUAGCUGGUCUGUGAGGGUGAUCAGCCACAUUGGGACUGAGACACGGCCCAAACUCCUACGGGAGGCAGCAGUGGGGAAUCUUGCGCAAUGGGCGAAAGCCUGACGCAGCCAUGCCGCGUGAAUGAUGAAGGUCUUAGGAUUGUAAAAUUCUUUCACCGGUGACGAUAAUGACGGUACCCGGAGAAGAAGCCCCGGCUAACUUCGUG